rnacentral:rRNA from 1 species
GACGAACGCUGGCGGCGUGCUUAACACAUGCAAGUCGAGCGGUAAGGCCCUUUCGGGGGUACACGAGCGGCGAACGGGUGAGUAACACGUGGGUGACCUGCCCUCAGCUCUGGGAUAAGCCCGGGAAACUGGGUCUAAUACUGGAUAUGACUCCACGGUGCAUGCCGUGGGGUGAAAGCCUUGUGCGGCUGAGGAUGGGCCCGCGGCCUAUCAGCUUGUUGGUGGGGUGAUGGCCUACCAAGGCGACGACGGGUAGCCGGCCUGAGAGGGCGACCGGCCACACUGGGACUGAGACACGGCCCAGACUCCUACGGGAGGCAGCAGUGGGGAAUCUUGCGCAAUGGGCGAAAGCCUGACGCAGCGACGCCGCGUGAGGGAUGACGGCCUC